rnacentral:rRNA from 1 species
CCCUUAGAUGUCCUGGGCCGCACGCGCGCUACACUGAGUGUCUGAGAUACGAGUCUGCCUGGUCCGGCAAGGUCUAGGUAAUCGCUAAAAAACACAUCAUGCUUGGGAUAGAUUAUUGCAAAUAUUAAUCUUGAACGAGGAAUUCCUAGUAAGCGCAAGUCAACAGCUUGCGUUGAUUACGUCCCUGCCCUUUGUACACACCGCCCGUCGCUACUACUGAUUGGAUGUUUAAGCGAGGUUCUCGAACUGCUAGCGACUUAGCUUCGGUGAGGUCGCAGUGUGGGAAGUGAACCUAGCUUUGGUGUCUAGAGGAAGUAAAAGUCGUAACA